AGCUGGUCUGAGAGGAUGACCAGCCACACUGGAACUGAGACACGGUCCAGACUCCUACGGGAGGCAGCAGUGGGGAAUAUUGCACAAUGGGCGCAAGCCUGAUGCAGCCAUGCCGCGUGUAUGAAGAAGGCCUUCGGGUUGUAAAGUACUUUCAGCGGGGAGGAAGGGAGUAAAGUUAAUACCUUUGCUCAUUGACGUUACCCGCAGAAGAAGCACCGGCUAACUCCGUGCCAGCAGCCGCGGUAAUACGGAGGGUGCAAGCGUUAAUCGGAAUUACUGGGCGUAAAGCGCACGCAGGCGGUUUGUUAAGUCAGAUGUGAAAUCCCCGGGCUCAACCUGGGAACUGCAUCUGAUACUGGCAAGCUUGAGUCUCGUAGAGGGGGGUAGAAUUCCAGGUGUAGCGGUGAAAUGCGUAGAGAUCUGGAGGAAUACCGGUGGCGAAGGCGGCCCCCUGGACGAAGACUGACGCUCAGGUGCGAAAGCGUGGGGAGCAAACA
rnacentral:rRNA from 1 species